AAGCACCCUUCUCCUUUUCCACAUAACAUCUAGAAGGAACACCGGUCCCUCUAAAACAUUUAAAGGAAAUGACAUUCUGACUCUCCAAAAGAAAUUACUUUUCUAAAUCCAUACUUUGCCAAAAUGGUGUAGGUUUGUAACGAAACAUCGCCCUCUACUGGAAAGGUUAGCACUCUGCAACCGUGAUAGAUUUAAAGCAGAACAAAAAUUUAAAAAAUGGUCAGUUCAUGCUGAAUAAUGACUGUCGUGUAUUCUUUGGCGUGAGUCCUCGGGGAAAGCAGAGAAACAGAACUUUCCACUUACUUAUGUGGUGGUGGAUAAAUGACGAGAAGAGAAAGAAGCACAGGGCUGACCGGAAGCAAUCCUACCUUGGGAAUACUUAAGUCACCGGAAUGAAAUAGCUCCAACAAGUACAAAGAACUUCCACAUAUAGGAAUCUAGAACAUCAGGCAGCUGGCGAGAAGACACACCUCUGCCGCUGGGGAGUUAAGAGUGUAUUUGAUCAGCGACCACAGCAGAGUGGAUUAUUAGAACGGAUUAUUCAGCUACUGCUACACAAUGAUAUCUUCCCAAAGUUGUUUUGGAAGAGAAACUGCAGAAAUACAUGAAGUUAUGAAACUCACGCUGAAGACAGUCCACAGGGCUGUUCCUGAAGAGCUGUGCUCAGAUGAAAUGUUCUAGAAGGCUGAAUGACCAGUGCGUCGGAGACGGUGGGAAAGUUGAAAAGGCUGGGAUGUUGCUGGAGCGGAGCCAAACUGUCUUGGGCUAUCUUGGUCCCUUAGUGAUCUACUGCUUACCUGUGUGUGUGAGACCUAACAACCUUGCAUUAGGUAAGUGCUGUUGGAAUGUACAAACAGACCCCACACCACAAUCAGCCUGAUCCAGAGGUUAAGAUUGUCAUUGGGUCUCAUUUGAAGCCUGGAGAGGCUCCUCAACUUUGCUGCAAAUGACUUACCUGGCGUUUCUGCUAAUGCAUUUGAAAAGCAGUUUAUGGUUUUCUUUGUCAGUACCUAUAAAAGCUUCAUAACCUGUUUAAACCUGGCCUUCGGGCUAAUCUACAUCCGAAUCCCUGGGUCAAGGUCAUCCAUCCUUGACUCUAGAAUAAACCAUCUCUUACUUCCUUUGGGAUGA